rnacentral:tRNA from 1 species
GCGCCCGUAGCUCAGCUGGAUAGAGCACCUGGCUUCGAACCAGGUGGUCGGGAGUUCGAUCCGAGGAACGCGAAGCGUUCCGACGGACGCCGAAGGCGCCCCGAAGGGGUGACGAGCGCAGCCAGGAAUCAAUCGCUCCGGGCGCGCCA